rnacentral:rRNA from 1 species
CAGCAGCCGCGGUAAUACGUAGGUGGCAAGCGUUGUCCGGAAUUAUUGGGCGUAAAGGGCUCGCAGGCGGUUUCUUAAGUCUGAUGUGAAAGCCCCCGGCUCAACCGGGGAGGGUCAUUGGAAACUGGAAACUUGAGUGCAGAAGAGGAGAGUGGAAUUCCACGUGUAGCGGUGAAAUGCGUAGAGAUGUGGAGGAACACCAGUGGCGAAGGCGACUCUCUGGUCUGUAACUGACGCUGAGGGGCGAAAGCGUGGGGAGCGAACAGGAUUAGAUACCCCGGUAGUCCCUGUCUCUUAUACA